UACGUAGGGUGCGAGCGUUGUCCGGAAUUAUUGGGCGUAAAGGGCUCGUAGGCGGUUUGUCACGUCGGGAGUGAAAACUCGGGGCUCAACCCCGAGCCUGCUUCCGAUACGGGCAGACUAGAGGUAUGCAGGGGAGAAUGGAAAUUCCUGGUGUAGCGGUGAAAUGCGCAGAUAUCAGGAGGAACACCGGUGGCGAAGGCGGGUCUCUGGGCCGAUACUGACGCUGAGGAGCGAAAGCGUGGGGAGCGAACAGG
rnacentral:rRNA from 1 species